GUCCACGCAGUAAACUGUGAACACUAGGUGUAGCGGGUAUUGACCCCUGCUGUGCCGAAGCUAACGCAUUAAGUGUUCCGCCUGGGAAGUACGGUCGCAAGGCUAAAACUCAAAGGAAUUGACGGGGCCGCACAAGCGGUGGAGCAUGUGGUUUAAUUCGACGCAACGCGAAGAACCUUACCUGGGUUUGACAUCCCGGGAAUCCCUGGAAACAGGGGAGUGCCCUUCGGGGAGCCCGGAGACAGGUGCUGCAUGGCUGUCGU
rnacentral:rRNA from 1 species